rnacentral:rRNA from 1 species
AACGUAGGUGGCGAGCGUUAUCCGGAUUUAUUGGGUUUAAAGGGUGCGUAGGCGGCCCGUUAAGUCAGUGGUGAAAGCCUCCAGCUCAACUGGAGAACUGCCAUUGAUACUGGCGGGCUUGAGUACAGACGAGGUUGGCGGAAUUGAUUGUGUAGCGGUGAAAUGCAUAGAUACAAUCAGGAACACCGAUUGCGUAGGCAGCUAACUAGGCUGUAACUGACGCUGAGGCACGAAAGCGUGGGGAGCGAACAGG